rnacentral:lncRNA from 1 species
GAGUGAGGUUUGAUAGAAAACUAGAUACAAUUUCUAUAAGCAUUGGUUUUGAGUGAUUUGGAUUUGUAAUGACUUUGUAAGAGCUUUACAAAGUCAAGUUUGUUUUCAAAUGACUUGGAUUUUGUGAGAUAAAAUAGGGUUUAUGUUUCUAGUAAUUUCAAGAGUUUUGUAAUAGAUCUAUAAGUGAAAUUUUGUAGAUUAAUGGUCAUAGUUGUGCUUAAUAUGUAUUAUAAAUCUUAGCUCGAUCUAAUAGUUGAAUUGAGGAUUAUUGAGGUUUAAGUGGGUUAAGGUCUCAAAAAGUAGAAUUUUAGGUUCAAUGAGGGUUUUUA